CCUCAAUCUUCAUCCAUCAAGAUCCCAAUUUGUAUGCAAUGGUGAAUCAAGCAAGAAACAAGUGGAAGAGUGGUUUAAAAUUUGGGGUUGGUUUAGUGAGCUAGAGGCCAUGGAUGCAUGAUGAAUCAAGAGCUAGGGUUUGGUAAUUAAAGCAUGUUGAUUUGUUGCAUCACUAGGUGAGUUCUUUAGAUAGUUUUCCACCUUGGGUUUGUGUGUAUCUAUGUGAGAAAGCAUGAUUUUUGUUAGGUUAUGAAUGUAUGAUUUUAGUACCCCC
rnacentral:lncRNA from 1 species